rnacentral:rRNA from 1 species
AGAGUGUAAAGGCAGAAGGGAGCUUGACUGCGAGACCUACAAGUCGAGCAGGGACGAAAGUCGGGCUUAGUGAUCCGGUGGUUCCGCAUGGAAGGGCCAUCGCUCAACGGAUAAAAGCUACCCCGGGGAUAACAGGCUUAUCUCCCCCAAGAGUUCACAUCGACGGGGAGGUUUGGCACCUCGAUGUCGGCUCAUCGCAUCCUGGGGCUGUAGUCGGUCCCAAGGGUUGGGCUGUUCGCCCAUUAAAGCGGUACGCGAGCUGGGUUCAGAACGUCGUGAGACAGUUCGGUCCCUAUCCGUCGUGGGCGUUGGAAGUUUGAGAGGAGCUGUCCUUAGUACGAGAGGACCGGGAUGGACAUACCGCUGGUGUACCAGUUGUUCCGCCAGGAGCAUAGCUGGGUAGCUACGUAUGGAAAGGAUAAGUGCUGAAAGCAUCUAAGCAUGAAGCCCCCCUCAAGAUGAGACUUCCCAUCAUUUUAAAUGAGUAAGAUCCCUCAGAGACGAUGAGGUUAAUAGGUUUGAGGUGGAAGCGUGGCGACACGUGGAGCUGACAAAUACUAAUCGAUCGAGGACUUAACUAAUUU